AAAUCUCCCGCCGCGCCCCGCGCCCGUCCCGCCGCCCCCCGCCCGCCUACGGGAGGCAGCAGUGGGGAAUAUUGCACAAUGGGCGCAAGCCUGAUGCAGCGACGCCGCGUGGAGGAUGACGGCCUUCGGGUUGUAAACUCCUUUCGACAGGGACGAAGCGUGAGUGACGGUACCUGUAGAAGAAGCACCGGCCAACUACGUGCCAGCAGCCGCGGUAAUACGUAGGGUGCGAGCGUUGUCCGGAAUUACUGGGCGUAAAAAGCUUGUAGGCGGUUUGUCGCGUCGCUCGUGAAAACCGGUAGCUCAACUAUCGGCUUGCGGGCGAUACGGGCAGACUAGAGUACUGCAGGGGAGACUGGAAUUCCUGGUGUAACGGUGAAAUGCGCAGAUAUCAGGAGGAACACCGGUGGCGAAGGCGGGUCUCUGGGCAGUAACUGACGCUUAGAAGCGAAAGCGUGGGUAGCGAACAGGAUUAGAUACCCUGGGAGGCCCCGCCGUUAACGGUGGGCCCUAGGUGUGGGUUUCCUUCCACGGGAUCCGUGCCGUAGCUAACGCAUUAAGCGCCCCGCCGGGAGACGGCGCAAGGAU
rnacentral:rRNA from 1 species